rnacentral:rRNA from 1 species
CUCAAAGAUUAAGCCAUGCAAGUGGUUAUUUAACCCGACAGUUUAACUAAGUGUUAUCAUCGAUACGCAUCACAACAAUACACACAUAUAUGACAGUGAAACUAUAUACGCAUUUCACUUACGCAACUGCAGACAGCUGCUUAAUACAGUCACACUUGUCUUGACUUGGCUAUUGCAUAUAUCUCUCUUAUGAGAGUAUACGCUAACGACACACAUCGUAGUAAUACGUGAUUUCUCAUAACUGAGAAAGCCGUGUGCAUUACACGCGCGCGCGCUUGAAUCAGUCUCCAUCAACUUAAUGGAUAACUCAGGGAAAGUUUGGCUAAUACGUACGAGUUUCACCACAAUAUUACAUACACACGAUAUACUCAGCACUCAAUGGUAAACUUGUGCAUCUGCGUACUUUUGUCUUCGGACAGUGCGCUUAUGUACGAUUCGUUUAACUGCAACAUGAGAGACAUUGAGCACGCAGUCUUUCGAUCCUUUGUGAUUGAUUGACACUAUACGCUGAGCAGACUUURAGAUUCUUYACUAUCUUCGAAGCAUGUCWUACAAGCAUCUACAGCAUCAAGUCACAGGGUUGGCAAGUGUAUUAUUGAACCUUCAAAGCAGUCACGCAUACGGAAGAGUAGUUUCUGAUCCCAUAGAAGGAGCACCGUACAAUGAGAGACCGCUCUUAGUUCUAAGGAACGCAGCAGGCGCGUAAAUUGCCCAAUGCUAGUACCCUACUAUUGCAUUACAUUACGCAGACAACUAAUAAUGUUGACUAAUUAAUAAUAAACGCACGUUUAACUAUCUGUCACAAAUACAUACUAUUUAACCUUGUCUACAAACUGUAAUACUCUUUAAUUUCAUUUACUGAGGCAGUGACAAGCUGUAACGGUUGAGUAUAAUAAUGACGAGUGUCUGGCAUUGCCGCUGCCUUCGGGUAAGCUUGGCAAUUUUGCCGACGCUUUGUGUGCUCAAUUGGAAUGCGGUGAGUUUAAGCAACUCAGAACCUUUGGAUGGUAGUUCGUUUCGUUCUACUCUCUGAGUAUCUGAAUCUUCAAGUGGAGGGCAAGUCUGGUGCNNNNNNCCGCGGUAAUACCAGCUCCACUGGCCUAUACAAUCAUUGUUGCGGUUAAGAGGCUCGUAGUUGGAUUGAACAAUUGUUACUAAUAACUAAUCUGCGCUCGCGUAGCAUUGUUAUAACAAUUAGUAUAUAUACAUGUUGAAGCGUACAUAGCGUAUAACUCAAUCUCAUUAAUCACACACACACACACGAGAUGAUACGCACUGUGCCUUCAAUGCAUAUAUUGCGUCUUUCGACAAACUUAUAUAUAUACACGCUACAAGCAUCAGCGCAGGGAAAUCUUAUUUCAACACUGUGAACAAAUCAGAGUGUAUCAAACAUGUCGUACUUGAAUGCGCAUUGAAUGUCUUAUCAUGGGAUGUUGCCUUCUCAAAUUAAUACGACCGUUUGGCUAAACACGCACACACACUCACUCUCUCUCUCUCUCUAGCGCAAUGAAUAGCUUUAGCGGAAUACUUUAAAUACUUAUGUCGAUGGGGAUAGUUGGAGUCAACAGUACUGCUGGGCGAGAGGUGAAAUUCAUUGACCCUAGCAAGACUACCAAAAGCGAAAGCAGUUGGCUAGGCUAUACUCUUUGUGAUUUGAUAUAAGCGUGACUGCCGUGUUGUGAUACACACACACACACUCAAACACACACACACACACGCGCGCGCGCGCUCUAUACAAAACACUUUACAAUGAAGAACGAAGGUUGGGGGAUCAAAGAGGAUCAGAUACCCUCGUCGUCCCAUUAAUUACAUCAAACGAUGGGCUCUCAAUUGCACAUAUUAAUAACAGUGCAUUUGUACUCUCAACCUACUAAAUCUUAUUAACUCUGGCUUGAGCUCGUAGUUCGCUACGCUCGCCUAAACCUAUACUGAUUUCUAUGUACGGUCUCAAUGAAGACAUAUGCAUUCUGUACUAAACAUUUAGCGUGUCUCGCUUAUAUAUAGUUAUAAUCAUACUACGUAUCUUAUUACGUAACAGUAUAUUUAACUAUUGCGACACUUGAUUUUCGGAGCUUUGCGCUCAAUUCUGGUGAGAUGUAAGCACCAUGUUAUGUGACCCGCAACGUAUACCUAUCGGGUAUUUCGCUUGUCGUGCGUCGCUAACAAAUAAUUAUUUUGGUGUGAAGCACGCUUUAGGCACGCGCUUACUGCAGAAAUGUCUGAGACAUUCCCCUCCGGGGGUAGUAUGCACGCAAGUGUGAAACUUGAAGGAAUUGACGGAAGGGCACCACAAGAACGCGUGGAGCAUGUGGCUUAAUUUGACUCAACGCGGGAAAUCUUACCGGGUCCGGACACACUGAGGAUUGACAGGCAAUAUUACGACUCAUUCUCUUCUGAGUUGCGUCGUAUGUUAAAUAUGCUAGUCCUUUCAUGAUUAUGUGAUAGGUGGUGCAUGGCCGUUCUUAGUUCGUGGAGUGAUCUGUCUGCUUAAUUGCGUUUCACUAAGGAACUAUAUUACUAUGCAUGUUGUCAGCGCAUUGACCCCUCGUUGGUUCACAUACCUUUCACGGUUGUAACCAGUGUUAGCGUGCGUCUUUGAUUCUCGUCUGGCUCAUGCGAUUAGUUCCUGAAAGCAACGAACGUGACCGCAACCUCUUGUUGCCUUCAUUCUACAAUAUGCGUAUUACAAACUCUUCUGAGUCCUUGUAUCGCUAUACGGAGGCUUUCUAAACUAGAGGGACCGCUGUUAUCUUCUUAAACCAGAGGAAGGUUGCGGCAAUAACAGGUCUGUGAUGCCCUUAGAUGUUCCGGGCUGCACACGUGCUACAAUGAUUAUUGCAGUGAGCAUCUCAUUUACUUAAUACAUCGCAAGCGCGAGUCCGUUUGUUCUUGUGUUAUCAGUUCAUGCUGGUGCACAAGCUUCAAUCGAGUAUCUCUGCGCGCGAUAAAGCCUACUUUGAAAGUUUAGUGGGUAAUCAAUUAGAAGUAAUGAUUUCCUAAAUUUAUCGCACCUAUAUAUGUGGCGUCUUUACCCAGCCAGCCUUUUGUGCUGGAUUCCGUGUGUAUUGACGAUUGAUUUCAAUAUCAAUUGCCUAAUCUUACGGUACCACAUGUGCAAUUGUCAAUUCAUGGUGGGGACAGACCAUUGUUAAUUGUUGGUCUCGGUCUUAACUAGGAAUGCCUUGUACGGGUCUUUGGUUCAACAGACCACCCGGAAUACGUCCCUGCCCUUUGUACACACCGCCCGUCGCUCUUACCGAUGGACUUCUCUGUGAGUUUCAGGGACUGGGUCAAUCUUGUCUUGUUACUAGAUCAGACCUAUGGAAACUGAAACGAACAGUGUGGUCUAAAGGAAAGAGAAGUCGUAACAAGGCAUCGGUAGGUGAACCUGCAGAAGGAUCA